rnacentral:rRNA from 1 species
GAUGAACGCUGGCGGCGUGCCUAAUACAUGCAAGUCGAGCGAACAGACGAGGAUCUUGCUCCUCUUACGUUAGCGGCGGACGGGUGAUUAACACGUGGCUAACCUACCUAUAAGACUGGGAUAACUUCGGGAAACCGGAGCUCAUACCGGAUAAUAUAUUGAACCGCAUGGUUCAAUAGUGAAAGCCGUUUUUGCUGUCACUUAUAGAUGUUUCCUCGCCGCAUUAGCUAGUUGGUAAGGUAACGGCUUACCAAGGCAACGAUGCGUAGCCGACCUGAGAGGAUGAUCGGCCACACUGGAACUGAGACACGGUCCAGACUCCUACGGGAGGCAGCAGUAGGGAAUCUUCCGCAAUGGGCGAAAGCCUGACGGAGCAACGCCGCGUGAGUGAUGAAGGUCUUCGGAUCGUAAAACUCUGUUAUUAGGGAAGAACAAAUGUGAAAGUAAAUAUGCACGUCUUGACGGUACCUAAACAGAAAGCAACGGCUAACUACGUG